GUUAGACUAGCAAACCUGCUGAAUUUAAGCAUAUAAGUAAGCGGAGGAAAAGAAACUAAAUAGGAUUCCCUCAGUAAUGGCGAAUGAACAGGGAUCAGCUCAGUGUGAAAAUCGAAGCCUCUGGCUUCGAAUUGUGGUCUGAAGAUGUACUACCAACAGUGGCACAGAUGUAAGCCUCUUGGAAAGGAGCGUCGCUGAGGGUGAGAAUCCCGCUUGUCAUCUGUAGGCCUCUGUGCACGGUGUACCUUUCGAGAGUCACAUUCCUUGGGAGUGGAAUGCAAAGUGGGUGGUAAAUUUCAUCUAAAGCUAAAUAUAAGUUCGAGACCGAUAGAAAACAAGUACCAUGAGGGAAAGAUGAAAAGGACUUUGAAAAGAGAGUUAAAAGUGCCUGAAAUUGCUGAGAGGGAAGCGAAUGGAACCAGUGAGUCUGGGUGAGAUUGUCGCUCGCUUAUGUGACGCCUUGCUAUUCCAGCGCAAGCGGAGUAGCUGGGCUUGAGCAGACUGCGUGCGAUGCUUCUUGCCUGGUGUGCCAUCUCUGUUGCGCGAGUGGAGAAAACUCUGAGGACAUGGUAAUGAGUCCCUGGACGAUUGAAUGUGCUCGGCUGAAUUCACUUGUGUAACACCUGAUGGCUAAAUGGUUUCUUUCGACCCGUCUUGAAACACGGACCAAGGAGUCUAACAUAUGUGCGAGUUCGUGGGUGGUUAAACCUGUGUGCGCAAUGAAAACGACUGCUGGGAUCUUUGCACCAGCAACCGACCGAUCGAUUGAGAGAGGUUUGAGUGUGAGCAUAUCUGUUAGGACCCGAAAGAUGGUGAACUAUGCCUGCACAGGGCAAACUCAGGGGAAACUCUGAUGGAGGCUCGUAGCGAUACUGACGUGCAAAUCGUUCGUCAUAUGUGGGUAUAGGGGCGAAAGACUAAUCGAACCAUCUAGUAGCUGGUUCCCUCCGAAGUUUCCCUCAGGAUAGCUGGAAUUGAACAGUUUUAUCAGGUAAAGCGAAUGAUUAGAGGAAUCGGGGACGCGUUGUCUUCGACCUAUUCUCAAACUUUAAAUGGGUAAGAUCCAGUGGUUACUUGGGUGAACUUCUGGGACAAAUGUCAAUUCUAAGUGGGCCAUUUUUGGUAAGCAGAACUGGCGAUGAGGGAUGAACCUAACGCUGGGUUAAGGUGCUUAAUUGCUCGCUCAUCAGAUACCAUAAAGGGUGUUGGUUCAUUUUAACAGCAGGACGGUGGUCAUGGAAGUCGAAAUCCGCUAAGGAGUGUGUAACAAC
rnacentral:rRNA from 1 species